UACCAGCUCUCCGAGUGGUGUGGAUGUUUAUUGGGCCUAAAGCAUCCGUAGCUGGCUGGGCAAGUCCCCUGUUAAAUCCACCGAUUUAAUCGUUGGUGUGCGGGGGAUACUGUUCGGCUAGGGGACGGGAGAGGCCGACGGUAUUUUCGGGGUAGGGGUGAAAUCCUAUAAUCCCGGGAAGACCACCAGUGGCGAAGGCUGUCUGCUAGAACGCGCCCGACGGUGAGGGAUGAAAGCUGGGGGAGCGAACCGGAUUAGAUACCCGGGUAGUCCCAGCUGUAAACGAUGCAGGCUAGGUGUUUGGGCGGCCACGUGCCGCUCUAGUGCCGCAGGGAAGCCGUUAAGCCUGCCGCCUGGGGAGUACGGCCGCAAGGCUGAAACUUAAAGGAAUUGGCGGGGGAGCACCACAAGGCGUGAAGCUUGCGGUUC
rnacentral:rRNA from 1 species